GGGAAAGGAAAGGAUUGGAGGAGAUAGGGAGGAUAAUGAGGAAGUGGGGAGGUUAAGAUUCGAUUUGUUCGCAUAAUGGGCGGGUUAUUAGGCGGUAAAUGGCUGCAUGCCGGCACCAACCCAAUUUGGCAAAAAUGAAAAAAUGGAAAAAGGGUGGAGGGUAGGGAUCGAAGUUGGAUCGUUGAUUUAUAUUAAUGUCGCAGACACCAUUGAGUUACUAGUUGUUGUGUUUCACUUCUAGCUUUUCAACCUUGUUAUACAUAGUUUUGGACCGGUGUGUGACUGACAUGCGGGACCCACUUGUCGGUGCCGGGUUCAUAUGCUACUCUAGUUCGGUUCAUGGUGUUCUUCUUUUUUUAUUUUGAUUCAUUGUGAAAACAUUAAACAUGUUUAGAUUUCGCAUUUGUUGUCCAAAUCCAUUGAUUCUUUUGUCCAAUUUCUCGGACAACUUUUCCCUUUAACGUGGUUUUAUUUACACUGUGUUACCUGACCCCUUGUAUUAACAUUUUGUCAUUUGCUUCACUAUAUACUUACUCUACAAUGAAUGGAACUUUUUCUAAUGUGUCCAAUGUACCAGGGGCUUAUGAAUAGGCAAGUUGGAAUCUUUUAUGGUCGAAUGUGUAUCAUAUAGGUGUAUCAUAUAUAUGGCAUAUCAUAUAGGUGUAUCAUGUUCAAUGUCACACCUUCUUUGCCUUGAGGUGAUUUCAUGUGGGAGCUAAAAGAUAAUGUUUUUGUGCAAAUUGGUAAU
rnacentral:lncRNA from 1 species